rnacentral:rRNA from 11 species
GAGUAACGAUAAGGGGGGUGAAAAACCCCCCCGCCGAAAGAUCAAGGUUUCCUGUCCAACGUUAAUCGGGACAGGGUGAGUCGGCACCUAAGGCGAGGGCGAAGGCCGUAGUCGAUGGAAAAUCGGUUAAAAUUCCGAUACCGAUUCUUACUGCGAUGGAGGGACGGAGCAGGCUAGGCUAGCACGGCGUUGGUAGUCCGUGUUUAAGCGUGUAGGUAGGGGGAUUAGGUAAAUCCGGUUCCUCGUUAAUCUGAGACGUGAUGACGAUCUCUUGGGGCAACCCUUGAGAGAAGUAGUUGAUGCCAUACUUCCAGGAAAAUCUUCUAAGCUUCAGGUAAGAAUUGACCGUACUGUAAACCGACACAGGUGAUCAGGUAGAGAAUACCAAGGCGCUUGAGAGAACUAUGUUGAAGGAACUCGGCAAAUUACUCCCGUAAGUUCGCGAGAAGGGAGCCUGGCGUCGGGCAACCGAUGUCCAGGGGCACAGACCAGGGGGUGGCGACUGUUUACUAAAAACACAGGGCUCUGCGAAGUCGCAAGACGACGUAUA